GGAUAACAUGCCCUUAGGCGGAGGAUAACCUCGGGAAACUGAGAAUAAUACUCCAUAGAUCAUGGGAGCUGGAAUGCCUCAUGGUCGAAAGUUCCGGCGCCUAAGGAUUGGUCUGCGGCCUAUCAGGUUGUAGUGGGUGUAACGGACCCACUAGCCUAUGACGGGUAUGGGCCUUGAGAGAGGGAGCCCAGAGAUGGACUCUGAGACACGAGUCCAGGCCCUACGGGGCGCAGCAGUCGCGAAAACUUCACACUGGGGGCAACCCCGAUGAGGGAAUUCCUAGUGCAUGCAUUUAAUGUAUGCUUUUCUUUAGUCUAGAAAGCUAGAGGAAUAAGGGCUGGGUAAGACGGGUGCCAGCCGCCGCGGUAAUACCCGCAGCCCAAGUGGUGGUCGAUAUUAUUGAGUCUAAAACGUUCGUAGCCUGUUCAAUAAAUCUUUGGGUAAAUCGGUGAGCUCAACUUACCGACUUCCGAGGAGACUGUUGAACUUGGGACCGGGAGAGGCUAGAGGUACUUCUGGGGUAGGGGUAAAAUCCUGUAAUCCUAGAAGGACCACCGGUGGCGAAGGCGUCUAGCUAGAACGGAUCCGACGGUGAGGGACGAAGCCCUGGGUCGCAAACGGGAUUAGAUACCCCGGUAGUCCAGGGUGUAAACGCUGCAGGCUUGGUGUUGGGGACCCUUCGUGGGUGUUCAGUGCCGGAGAGAAGUUGUUAAGCCUGCUACUUGGGGAGUACGUCCGCAAGGAUGAAACU
rnacentral:rRNA from 1 species